UACGGCAACAUCACGUUGAAACACCGGUUUUCGUACGAUCAGCUAAGUUAAGCAACGUCGAGACUGGUCAUUACCUAGAUGAGUGACUGUUUGGGAAUACCAGGUGCUGUAA